rnacentral:rRNA from 1 species
UACGGAGGGUGCAAGCGUUAUCCGGAUUUACUGGGUUUAAAGGGUGCGUAGGUGGAUUUGUAAGUCAGUGGUGAAAUCUCCGGGCUUAACUCGGAAACUGCCAUUGAUACUAUAAGUCUUGAAUUAUCUGGAGGUGAGCGGAAUAUGUCAUGGAGCGGUGAAAAGCUUAGAUAUGACAUAGAACAACAAUUGCGAAGGCAGCUCACUACGGAUAUAUUGACACUGAGGCACGAAAGCGUGGGGAGCAAACAGG